AGCAAGCAAAAAAAAAGAAAAAAGAACAGAAGGUCGAAAAUUGAAUUUGAUUAUGAUCCGACCGAUGAUUAUCUGGUUUCUUUUG
rnacentral:ribozyme from 1 species